GGACUACUGGGGUAUCUAAUCCCUUUUGCUCCCCACGCUUUCGUGCCUGAGCGUCAGUAAUUGUCCAGGUAGCCGCCUUCGCCUCUGGUGUUCCUCACGAUAUCUACGCAUUUCACUGCUACACCGUGAAUUCCGCUACCCUCUCCAAUACUCUAGCCAAGUAGUUUUAGACGCAGUUCCGGGGUUGAGCCCCGGGAUUUCACAUCUAACACACUCGGCCGCCUGCGCACCCUUUACGCCCAGUGAAUCCGAAUAACGCUUGCAGUCUCUGUAUUACCGCGGCUGCUGGCAC
rnacentral:rRNA from 1 species